rnacentral:rRNA from 1 species
GACGAACGCUGGCGGCGUGCUUAACACAUGCAAGUCGAACGGAAAGGCCCUGCUUUUGUGGAGUGCUCGAGUGGCGAACGGGUGAGUAACACGUGAGUAACCUGCCCUUGACUUUGGGAUAACUUCAGGAAACUGGGGCUAAUACCGGAUAGGAGCUCCUGCUGCAUGGUGGGGGUUGGAAAGUUUCGGCGGUUGGGGAUGGACUCGCGGCUUAUCAGCUUGUUGGUGGGGUAGUGGCUUACCAAGGCUUUGACGGGUAGCCGGCCUGAGAGGGUGACCGGCCACAUUGGGACUGAGAUACGGCCCAGAUUCCUACGGGAGGCAGCAGUGGGGAAUAUUGCACAGUGGGCGGAAGCCUGAUGCAGCAACGCCGCGUGCGGGAUGACGGCCUUCGGGUUGUAAACCGCUUUCGCCUGUGACGAAGCGUGAGUGACGGUAAUGGGUAAAGAAGCACCGGCUAACUACGUG